rnacentral:rRNA from 1 species
AGAGUUUGAUCCUGGCUCAGGAUGAACGCUAGCGGCAGGCCUAACACAUGCAAGUCGAGGGGUAACAGGGAAAAGCUUGCUUUUUUGCUGACGACCGGCGCACGGGUGCGGAACGCGUAUGGAACCUGCCUUUGUCAGGGGAAUAGCCCAGAGAAAUUUGGAUUAAUGCCCCAUGGUAACCCUUUGUUGCAUAACAUAGGGUUUAAAGAUUUAUCGGACAAAGAUGGCCAUGCGUACCAUUAGCUGGUUGGUAAGGUAACGGCUUACCAAGGCAACGAUGGUUAGGGGCCCUGAGAGGGGGAUCCCCCACACUGGUACUGAGACACGGACCAGACUCCUACGGGAGGCAGCAGUGAGGAAUAUUGGACAAUGGGCGGGAGCCUGAUCCAGCCAUGCCGCGUGCAGGAUGACUGCCCUAUGGGUUGUAAACUGCUUUUAUACGGGAAGAAACGCACCUACGUGUAGGUGUCUGACGGUACCGUAAGAAUAAGGACCGGCUAACUCCGUGCCAGCAGCCGCGGUAAUACGGAGGGUCCGAGCGUUAUCCGGAAUCAUUGGGUUUAAAGGGUCCGUAGGCGGGCCUAUAAGUCAGAGGUGAAAGGCCACGGCUCAACCGUGGGACUGCCUUUGAUACUGUAGGUCUUGAGUCAUAGUGGGGUUGCCGGAACAUGUGGUGUAGCGGUGAAAUGCAUAGAUAUCACAUAGAACACCGAUCGCGAAGGCAGGUGGCCAACUAUGUACUGACGCUGAUGGACGAAAGCGUGGGGAGCGAACGGGAUUAGAUACCCCGGUAGUCCACGCCGUAAACGAUGGAUACUAGCUGUGGGGCCUUUGGGCUCCGUGGCCAAGCGAAAGUGAUAAGUAUCCCACCUGGGGAGUACGUUCGCAAGAAUGAAACUCAAAGGAAUUGACGGGGGCCCGCACAAGCGGU